rnacentral:rRNA from 1 species
CCCUUAGAUGUUCUGGGCUGCACGCGCGCGACAAUGACGUUUGCAACGAGAUUGCGAGGCCGUCAGGUCGAGCUGAUCUUGCAAGCUGCGUCGUGAUAGGGACAGUCGAUUGCAAUUAUUCGACUCGAACGAGGAAUUCCUUGUAAUCGCGCAUCAUCAGUGCGCGCUGAAUACGUCCCUGCCCUUUGUACACACCGCCCGUCGCUCCUACCGAUUGAGUGGUCCGGUGAAAUCUUCGGAUUGAGACUUUGAUUUGUUUACUCAAAACGCUGUUUCAAGAAGUUGAUUAAACCUUACCAUUUAGAGGAAGGUGAAGUCGUAACA